rnacentral:rRNA from 1 species
UACGUAGGGCGCAAGCGUUAUCCGGAAUUAUUGGGCGUAAAGAGCGUGUAGGCGGCCAAGCAGGUCCGCUGUGAAAACUCGGGGCUCAACCCCGAGCCUGCAGUCGAUACGGGCAGACUAGAGUCCGGCAGGGGAGACUGGAAUUCCUGGUGUAGCGGUGAAAUGCGCAGAUAUCAGGAGGAACACCGGUGGCGAAGGCGGGUCUCUGGGCCGGAACUGACGCUGAGGAGCGAAAGCGUGGGAGCAAACAGG